AAUAGAUACCCUGGUAGUCCACGCCGUAAACGAUGAGUGCUAAGUGUUAGAGGGUUUCCGCCCUUUAGUGCUGCAGCAAACGCAUUAAGCACUCCGCCUGGGGAGUACGGUCGCAAGACUGAAACUCAAAGGAAUUGACGGGGGCCCGCACAAGCGGUGGAGCAUGUGGUUUAAUUCGAAGCAACGCGAAGAACCUUACCAGGUCUUGACAUCCUUAUGCCUUCUCUAGAGAUAGAGCUUUCCCUUCGGGGACAUAAGUGACAGGUGGUGCAUGGUUGUCGUCAGCUCGUGUCGUGAGAUGUUGGGUUAAGUCCCGCAACGAGCGCAACCCUUGAUCUUAGUUGCCAGCAUUCAGUUGGGCACUCUAAGGUGACUGCCGGUGACAAACCGGAGGAAGGUGGGGAUGACGUCAAAUCAUCAUGCCCCUUAUGACCUGGGCUACACACGUGCUACAAUGGAUGGUACAAAGGGCAGCGAAACCGCGAGGUUAAGCCAAUCCCAUAAAACCAUUCUCAGUUCGGAUUGCAGG
rnacentral:rRNA from 1 species